rnacentral:sRNA from 1 species
AAAAUGGGAGAAAAAAAGUGUUCAUAAUCUUUCGUAUUUGUUGGGUAGUAAACAGAGAACCAUUGAGAAGAUUAGGAAAGAUUCAAAAACCCUAAUCUCUUAUUCUCAUUUUCACAAAUACAACUGUGUAUGAAUAAGAAAGAGAGAUUUUCGAGUGUUUGAGACUCUUUCUAUGGUGCAGUCAAAACACUCCCACAUUGCAUUGAAACUUUAGCCGAUGGGCGUUCUAGUGUUACUCUCUUCUUUGAAGAUAAAGACUUCAAUCCAAACUGGUUCGAUUUCGAUGGUAACUUCAAGUAUAAGUUUCAUCAUCUCUUAUUCUUAUUUUUGUGAGUCUUGGAUAGAUUUACUAAAUUUUUCUCCUUACAUCAUACAAGAUUAAUAGGAGAAGAUCUGGAUUUUUACCACUGCUCCAGAAUCAGUUCAUGUCCUGCUUUGCAAGAAAGAUCCACAUUGCCCGCUUGCAGGUUUCUACUCUCUGUCUUUCUCUCUCUCUUCAAACGUUAGAACAAGAACAAAAACAAAAUAAAAUAUGCUAUGUUAUAAAUUAUUUUAGCUUACAUAACAAUUUCUAAUGUCAAUGAAACUUAUUUUUCUUUAUCAAAAAAACAACUAAAUUCUAGAAGAAAAAAAUCGUAAAUUCAA